UUCAUUGACCUUCAAACUGUCUUGAUGCAAUUAAUCUGUUUAUUAAUGUCAUGAAAAUCUAUCUAUCUAUCUAUCUAUCUAUCUAUCUAUCUAUCUAUCUAUCUAUCUAUCUAUCUAUCUAUCUAUCUAUCUAUCUAUCUAUCUAUCUGUCCAUCCAUCCGUCUAUCCAUUCACCAUUCAUCUUAUACAUUAAGUGUAUAAUAUGCUCCAGAUGUCAUGUGAUCAUUCACACUAUGAAGGGAUGUAUAUUUUCUCUAGAUGUUACAGUGGAAAUUUUUGAUUUCUCUAAAGGUAGAUAAAUGCCAGAUGUACGUAGCCUUCCUAAAACUUAUAGUUCCUGUUCUCCUAUUUGUUCACCAAAGCACAGACAUGAUGAGGAAGUAGUUGUCAGCACUAUGUCACAGACUGCAUAGUCGGAGUACAGAGAGACGUCUUCUUUUUUCGAUUAUUUUGAUGGACAACGCUGCAUAAGUGCAGUUUGUCAAGUGGGACUCUAGAUUCUCUGCUGUUAUUGUUGGAAAAAUUAUUCUCUCCAGAUUGAAUGAGGUUACAGUACUCGUAAAAAAUGGAUUAAAGUGAAUGUAAAUGGCGUUUCAAAUUGGAGACGCUGCAGUCGGAUUACAGUAAAGACACAGACGACAGUUGAAAAAUAGUGACAUUCUUCAGGAAAACUCGACAGAGCAAAGCUGUCCUUGUGGCGACUGACGGCGUGAACCAGAAACCCAGCUAACUGCUUCUCCAGAAGCUCCACGACAGCUUUGGGGUCUCCUUUCCUCGCAGGGCCUUCCAUCAUCUGCUUCACGCUCUCGUCGGACACGGGCUGAGGGUCGCUGCUGAAGGAGACCACCAGGAAGUCCAGCAGUUCUCUGGCCGUUUCCUGAAGGUUCUCAUCUUCUUUCUCCUUCACAAGCCUCUUGAUGUCCAGUUCAGCUUGCUCUGGAAACGAAUCAACGCAUCUUUCUAUCAUUUCCUUCAUUUUCGUCUCAAU